GGACACACCAAAGAAGACUGGAGUAACGCAGGAAGCUCUGGCAGCCCAAGAAGCCCAGCUCCCUUGAGCCAGAACCUUGGUGCUGCCUCACCUGAGGAUUCAGAGCUGCCUCUAGGCCCUUCCAGCACAAGUGCAGGUUCUCAAGAGCGUGAGGCUUUCCCAGCAACUCCCAGGAAAGUGUUCGCCACCUCCAGACUUCUUGAGGAUUCAUCAGAGGACACACACAGAUUUCUACGCCAGCCUGAGCUCAUCAUUCCACUGGUUCCUGUAGACCAUCAAAGCCUUUUUGUGGCCCUUCCAGAGAGCAGCAGCUGCACAUCUUCAGAGCAGCACACCCCAGCCUACAGCCCAUCAGCCACACCGGGCAGUUCAGCCCCCAAUGCUCCACCUGGCAGUGCUGGUUGGGCAGCAUGGACGGCCUCCAGCUGGGCUUGGAAUAGUCCUGGGGAAGAGGAAUUGCCACCGCUGGAUCUAGAGCUUGUUCUUGAGACACUGGAGGAGAUGCUGUCACCAUCCCUGCCUGAAAGGUCUCCCUUUGCUCAGGGAAUGAAAAUGUUGCCCCUGAGUCUUCAGGAGGGGAGGCCGGGAACAGGGCUGCAGCAGAGGGAGCUUCGCCUGGCACCGAGAGCUGCGGGAACAGUUCCCCAGAGCCCGAGGAGCCUGAUAUCCAUCUGAUCUACCUCUCCAGGAGGGCUGCCUUGCGUGGGAGGAAGGGACCGAGGGAGGGCCUGUGACCAUCGGGCAGGUGGAAUCCCUCUGUUUAUAGAUAGAUUUAUAGAUGUCUAUAGUUAUGUUUAUAUAUCCAUAUAGUUAUUUAUAGUAUUUAUACUAUACUUAUUAGUUACAUAUAGUAUUUAUAGAUUUAUACAGUUGUGUUUAUAGGUGCAUGUAUUUAUAGAUCUGUAUAGUUAAAUUUAUAUAUAUAGUUAUAGAUGUGACGUAAUUAUAUUUAUACAUAGGCAGUUACAGUUAUAGAUUUGCAGAGUUAUAUUUAUAUAUGUGUAGAGAAAAAUUUAUAUAUAUCUAUUUAUAAAUGUACACAGUUAUAUAGUUAGAGGUAUUUGCAUAUUUAGAUACAUAGAUUGAUGUUUAUAUAGGCCUAGGCUGCAUUCUAAGCUCUUUCUGCCCUCAGCUGCCUUUUUAAUCUCCCCCUGUGCCCCCUCUGUCCCCUCUUCCUGUGCUGGCUCCGAGCUGGCGGCCGGGCCGGGCAGAGCAGCAGCUGCAGCCCCGGUGUCCCUGGAGCGGUGGGAGCUGCCGGUGGCCGCAGGCACUGUGCCCUGAGGAGCUGCUGGAGGACGCUGCCCUGAAGUCCUUGAGAACAACCAGAGACAGAUGAGAACCAGCAGGGAGAAGCUGAAGGCCACAGCAAGAGCAGUGAACGGGGACCUGCUGCUGCCGCCCGAGACCCUGGCUGAGGCCCCAGGGCCGGUGAGGCAGGAUGUCCCAUCUGAUGUCCCCUCUGCACGGGAGGAAGAGACCAAGGGAGAGGCUUUGAAGAUGGGGCGGCUGGAAUUCCUCUUCUUGUAUUUCUGUUUAAAGAUGUAUGGACUUGCACAUAAGAUAGUGAUAAUUACAUGGAUAUUUAUAUGUAGGUUGCUAUUUGUAUAGGUAUAUUUCUGUAUGUAUGUUGUUAUAUUUAUGG